AAUCAACGCUGGCGGCAGGCCUAACACAUGCAAGUCGAACGCUGUAGCAAUACAGAGUGGCAGACGGGUGAGUAACGCGUGGGAACAUACCCUUCGGUUCGGAAUAACUCAGGGAAACUUGAGCUAAUACCGGAUACGUGCGAGAGCAGAAAGAUUCAUCGCCGAAGGAUUGGCCCGCGUUCGAUUAGCUUGUUGGUGAGGUAACGGCUCACCAAGGCGACGAUCGANAGCUGGUCUGAGAGGAUGAUCAGCCACAUUGGGACUGAGACACGGCCCAAACUCCUACGGGAGGCAGCAGUGGGGAAUCUUGCGCAAUGGGCGAAAGCCUGACGCAGCGACGCCGUGUGCGGGAAGAAGGCCUUCGGUUGUAACCG
rnacentral:rRNA from 1 species